rnacentral:rRNA from 1 species
UACGGAGGGUGCAAGCGUUAUCCGGAUUUACUGGGUUUAAAGGGUGUGUAGGCGGGCUAUUAAGUCAGUGGUGAAAUCUCCGAGCUUAACUUGGAAACUGCCAUUGAUACUAUUAGUCUUGAAUAUUGUUGAGGUGGGCGGAAUAUGUCAUGUAGCGGUGAAAUGCAUAGAUAUGACAUAGAACACCAAUUGCGAAGGCAGCUCACUGAACAAUUAUUGACGCUGAGGCACGAAAGCGUGGGGAUCAAACAGG